GCGUUGCGCUGCUGCGUCCGCGUCGCCUGGUGCCGACGAGCGAGGCUGGGCGCUGGCUUGGCCUGCCUGCCGCGCUUGGUUUUUGCGUUGUCCGGGCCUCAGCUCGUCCACUGGAUACGGGGGAGGUUCCAGUUUUACUCCACCACCUGAUCUCAAACUGAGCAGCCGGUUUUUUUUCUUCUCCUGUGAUCAAGCCAAAAAAAAAAGAGAGAAAGAAAACAAAGCCUGGCUCAUCGAACAUCAUUCGUUUUGUCGUCGUGGACUCUACUGCGCAGUACAGCCGGAAAAAGGCUAUAGAUUUCGCAUCACGUACGUACGGGUCAGCAUAUUUGACGGCAAAAAAUGCGAUCGCAUCUCAGCAUAUAAAGACAGCCAAGUUCUUUAAGCAGAGCCCUCCUCUGUUUUUUCUAAGCGGUGGCGAAAAGCAAACAUCUGUCGUUUCUGCGUGUGCCAAAAGACAAAAAAAGAAAAGAAAAACCGAGUAGGGCCAAACGUCCUGCUGCUGUGUUGUACGUGGCCCAUCUCGUCUUUUCAGCAGUAGCAGACAAGAGUCAUGUCGAUGCGUGCGUUCUUUAGGCGGCCAAUCAUUCUUAAAAUCCUGUGGCUAUCUGGAAUAAACAUAGUAUGCGAUUAAUUGGUUCGUAAUCGCUGGCUGUCCUGUCUUCGUCUCCAAACUGAAUGCUGACUCCCCGUCCGUUUGUAACGGCUUCUGGACGUGUUGGUUGAUACGAUUUGUCUUUGACUUUCCUUUAAAGAAAACCUUGUUUGGUUGCACGAGCUGUGAAGCUCUUCUUUCCUCAAAAAAAGGGAAAGAACUCUUAGUCUACUUCUGAAGCUCAUGUUCAGAUGAGGGGGAAA
rnacentral:lncRNA from 7 species